GCGAUCAUACCAGCAUUAAUGCACCGGAUCUCAUCAGAACUUCGCAGUUAAGCGUGCUUGGGAGAGAGUAGUACUAGGACGGGUCACCCCUGGGAAGUCCUCAUGUUGCAUCCC